UGCAAGUCGAACGCAAUCUUUUAACAAUGAGUGCUUGCACUCAGCGUUUUAAGUGCGAGUGGCGAACGGGUGAGUAACACGUGGGCAAUCUGCCCAAAAGUGGGGGAUAACACUUGGAAACAGGUGCUAAUACCGCAUCAACCGGCUGACCGCAUGGUCGGCCGGGCAAAGACGGCGUCAGCUGUCGCUUUUGGAUGAGCCCGCGGCGUAUUAACUAGUUGGUAAGGUAACGGCUUACCAAGGUGAUGAUACGUAGCCGAACUGAGAGGUUGAUCGGCCACAUUGGGACUGAGACACGGCCCAAACUCCUACGGGAGGCAGCAGUAGGGAAUCUUCCACAAUGGACGCAAGUCUGAUGGAGCAACGCCGCGUGUAUGAAGAAGGUCUUCGGAUCGUAAAAUACUGUUGUCAGAGAAGAACACGUGAUAGAGUAACUGCUAUGGCGCUGACGGUAUCUGACCAGCAAGUCACGGCUAACUAC
rnacentral:rRNA from 1 species